CGGCGGACGGGUGAGUAACGCGUGGGUAACCUGCCUCAUACAGGGGGAUAACAGUUGGAAACGGCUGCUAAUACCGCAUAAGCGCACAGUACCGCAUGGUACGGUGUGAAAAACCCCGGUGGUAUGAGAUGGACCCGCGUCUGAUUAGGUAGUUGGUGGGGUAACGGCCUACCAAGCCGACGAUCAGUAGCCGACCUGAGAGGGUGAUCGGCCACAUUGGGACUGAGACACGGCCCAA
rnacentral:rRNA from 1 species